UGCACUAGUAUAUAUAAAAUGCUUGGUUAAAAAUGUUAAAUAUCAAUAUAAAUGAGAAAUGCAUAUAAGUCUUGAAUAUAUACAGGCACUUGAAGGGGGAAGAUAUACAGUCUCUCAACUUAAAAAACCUGAUGGCCGUAGAGCAUGCCAUUGAACAUGGCCUCGACAAAGUCCGAGACCACCAGGCAUGAAUAAUAUAUCUGUACAUUCAUUCAUACAUCUCUUCGUACAUUCAUAUUCAACAACUCUUGUAUGGUCUGUUUGUCUCAGAUGGAGUACCUCAUGACGAAAAGGAGAAAUGUGACCAUAUAAACAAAUUUCUAUACCUUACUAUUUAGCCUUCAGAUUGAUUAUUAAUUAGUGCUUACAGUUACAUCAAACAUUUUCUGUGGCAGGAAAAAAUGUUGGCGGAGGAGAAUCGGCAACUCAGUUUCCAGCUGGUACAUUUAAAGUCAUAUAUCCUUGAAGCCUUUAGCGUUAUUGAUUUGGUUUAAUAAUAUAUAUAUUAGUAUGUUUGUUGGGUUUGAUAUAUGCAGCAACAACAGGAGAUGGCUAUAGCUAGCAAUGCAAGAGGUAUGAUGAUGAGGGAUCAUGAUGGACAAUUUGGAUACAGAGUCCAGCCGAUUCAGCCAAAUCUUCAGGAAAAGAUUAUGUCGUUGGUCAUCGAUUGAUCAUUAGAGAUUUGAUGCAAUCUCAUUACCAAUCUACUAUCUAAUUCGUGGCUCUUUGUCUUUAUGAAUGUGUGUGUCUCUAUCAGACUUUUAUUUAGCUUACAUGUGUGUUGUUUGCUUAUGAAACCUCUAUGUAUUGGUUGUGUUGUAUGCCAAACUAAACGUUUGAAACUAUUUAAUUAUUGCAUGUGUGUGAAAACUAAUUAUUCUUUACUAAGCAAUACGUGAUUCGGGAGGUUUCUUUUUGAAAAGUUAUAAUUGGCCUCCGUGCUAGAAUUUUUUUGGAUCACAUUCAAGUUGUAUAAUGUUAUUAGGACUUAGGACAAGAUGCCUUGAGAGUGAUCAAACACAAGCCUUUAGUUCAAAAAAGAGUGAUCAAAAACAAUUUAUUAAACCGAAAAAGACUCAAAACUAUAUUUUAAAUGUAAUAUUAUUACAUGUAAACUGUUCUGUUCACGUUUGUGUCGUAUACAAUAUUUAUUCCCUAAAGUUUCUUUUAAAAACAGAGUUGUGUAGAAUCAAUCACACAUGCACCCUCAUGUUUAGCCUUCUCAACCAAACGGAGUGAAGAAUCAUUCGAAGCAUGUCAAACGGUUGGGACGGCCUAUUGAUAACGAAAUGUCUCUGGACCUGCAAAACUCUUCUUUGCAACACCUUGUAGCGUCUCAACGACACGCUCUUUAGUAUCGUUUUGAUCUCUGGGAUCUUCUCAGAGGGGACAUGAAUGGUGAACUUACUCCAAUCAAGAACGUCUGAGAAGGGCAAGGCGUAGUGAUCAGAGAUGAUGACAGGGACACAACCUAAGCUAAUGGCUGCUACGACUCGAGGGCUAGCCACUUCGUAGCCACUAGGACAGAGACAGAACCUUGCCUUGGCCAUGAGCUUGAAGUAGUCUUCCUUUCUUGGUAAGUACUCAUGGACUUGGACCUCAUCGUCUUUGUCUUUCCAAUGCUGCAGUAGAAUCUUGCGGAUAUUGCCGUGUACGCGGCCUGCAAAGAAAGCAAGGAUGGGUCGGUCAUGGCCGGAAGAAUUGGAUAACCUAGGUGGGCCCAGUUGGCCCAGGGGGAUGUUGAUCUCCGGGAUUGAGACAUCUCGUUGGGGCAUGAAACCUUCCGAUGUGUUGGCGUUGCAGAGAACUCUUAUCAUGUUUUUCAGCAGCUCCGGAUCCGAUCCCGAAACCUCUGGUGCCUGUAAGACGUUUUAUAAAUGUUGCGUGUUAGACACGAUAAGUAGGACCGGCUCAAAGUUUUUUAGACAACUUUGGACAGGAUUUUUUACAAGUUUUUAAUAACAAAAAAAUAUUCUACAACAACAAAUUAGUCUGAGUUUCUCAAACAAAAAAUAAAAACAAAUUAGUAUGAGUUUUCUCAAAGAAAAGCAAAUUAGUAUAAGUGAAUUAUUUAAUACUAUACGAUACUGUAAACAAUAAAGGUAGUUAAUUUUUUUAAAAUAAUAUAUUUAACUUUUUAAUAAAAAUGUUUUUAAAAAAAAUAAAUCAUUUUUUGACACUGAAAAAUUAAUUAAUUUUUUUUGAACUUUGGAAGCAUAAACUAUUAUUACAUAGAGGGUGAAAGCAUGGCCGGCUCAAAGUUUUUUAGGCACUUUAGGCAAAAAAAAAUUUAAAAGUUUUUAAUAGCAAAAAAAAAUAUUCUACAACAACAAAUUAGUAGUUUCUCACAAAAAAAAAACAAAUUAGUAUAAGUUUUCUCAAAAGAAAAGCAAAUUAGUACAAAUGUCUCUAAAAUUAUUUAAUAUAUGAUACUGUAAACAAUAAAGUUUGGUUAAUUUUUUUUUAAAAAAAAUAAGUUUUUAAUAAAAAAAAACUUUAAAAAAAUUAUAUCAUUUUUAACACUGAGAAAAAUAACUUUAUGAAGAAAACGAACCCAAUCAUGGCAAGAAACGAAGAAAUGGUCGGCUCCGAGGCUUCUAUUCCAAUAAGGAUACUUGUGAGUCACGACACUGACGUAGUCAAGAAACACUUUAUGAAGUUGUUCUCUUGAGUAGGUCACGAGCGGGUGGUAUAGGUACUCAACGACGUUGGCGACGCUAACCGGGAGGAGGAAGGUGUGAGCCUCGUCAGGGUGACUAGCCGCGAAUGGGCUCAUCCCUCUUUCCAUCUCGUCCACGAAUUGGCCUUCGAUGCUGUAUAUGUUGUUCAUUGGACCUAUGUGUACUAACGGUGUCUCUCCUUCUUUGUACACCCACACUUUGAAUCUCUUUUCCAUCUAUCUUCUUCUUCAUAUAAACCACAUAUCUUCUCCUCCAUAUCUUAACAAUUUCAUAGCAAACCCUAAAACUGAGAAGAGAGAGAAAAAAAAUGGGUAGAGGGAAGAUAGAGAUAAAGAGGAUAGAGAACGCAAACAACAGAGUGGUGACGUUCUCAAAGAGGAGGAAUGGGUUGGUGAAGAAGGCCAAAGAGAUCACGGUUCUUUGCGAUGCAAAAGUUGCUCUCAUAGUCUUUGCAAGUAAUGGUAAGAUGACUGAUUAUUGUUGUCCUUCCAUGGACCUUGGUGCUAUGUUAGACCAAUACCAGAAGUUAUCUGGCAAGAAACUAUGGGAUGCUAAGCAUGAGGUACUCUCUCUUUGAUAUAAUCUAAAGUUUCAUUGUCUCAAAAAAUAUUCUAUGACCAUUGAUUUUCAUGAAUUUCAUUGCCUAAAACAUGUCAGAUCCCUUGAAUCUUCAACUCUAGACGCAGAUCUACUCUAGUGUUUUGUCUCAAACAAAUAUUCUGUGCUACAUAUCAUGAAAUUGAUUCUUUAUUUAUAUUUUCCUAAAAUAUGUCAAAAAGAUAAACCAUGAACCCUAGAUGCAGAUCUACAAAGCUUUCUUUUGUGUGUUAAGCCUAUCAAGCCUCUUUAUUGAUUCUCUUGUACUCAAACAAGACAUGGAGCCACAAAACAUGGAAGUUAUUCUCUUCUUUCCAUUGUUUUCUUUUAUUAGUGCUUAGUUUUAAAGCUCUUGAUGGAUAUAUUCUAGAGUAAAAAACAUAUUGCAUUCACAACCUGUAUUUUGAAACCAUAAAAGACAAUCUUAAGUGUGUUAGAUCCAUAAGUAAUUUCAUUAUUAGGUCAUUAUUAUGGAGAUAAAAAACCUGGGGAGUGAUAUUACUGAUGAAAAUGUCUGAACAGUUUACCGAUUUUACAUUUGUGAUUUUCGAAACUAAUUAAAAACUGGGAAGUACUGUUGAAUAGACUUUUUUACAACAGGUCUAGUCAAAAUAUUAUAUUUUUAUUAAUUAGUUCGGACGAUAGGUUUUGUUCUCACAAAUGACAUAUAUAUCUCUAUACAGUAAUAAGCUUUCAUAGAGUUGUAAGCCAUUUAAGUGACUGCCUAGUAAUAUCUGUGUAUCUGCAUAUAUAUACUUUUUACAUAAAGCGUGAAUGUGUAUAAAUAUAUAUAUAUAUAUAUGUAUUUAUAUGCAUAAAUCAUGAGCAUAUAGAGAUCGUCAUGCAUAACCAGAUCUGAGUCUCCAGUUUCUUUUUAAGACAUAUUUUAUGUCUAGUGUAUGGACAAGGGAAUUUUUAGUUUGAUCUAAAUUCUUAAAUACCAAUUUUGUUCAUCUAAUACACAUCCAAAUAAUUUUGGUCUCCAGAACCUCAGCAAUGAGAUUGACAGGAUCAAGAAAGAGAAUGAUAACUUGCAACUCGAGCUCAGGUCAAUCUUCACCCUUGGCCACAUCUUUGCACUAGUAUAUAUAAAAUGCUUGGUUAAAAAUGUUAAAUAUCAAUAUAAAUGAGAAAUGGAUAUAAGUCUUGAAUAUAUACAGGCACUUGAAGGGGGAAGAUAUACAGUCUCUCAACUUAAAAAACCUGAUGGCCGUAGAGCAUGCCAUUGAACAUGGCCUCGACAAAGUCCGAGACCACCAGGCAUGAAUAAUAUAUCUGUACAUUCAUUCAUACAUCUCUUCGUACAUUCAUAUUCAACAACU
rnacentral:lncRNA from 1 species